rnacentral:rRNA from 1 species
CUGAAUAACUACGCUGAUCGCACGGUCUCGUACUGGCGACGUAUCCUUCAAGUGUCUGCCUUAUCAACUUUCGAUGGUAGUCUAUAAGCCUACCAUGGUUGUAACGGGUAACGGAGAAUAAGGGUUCGACUCCGGAGAGGGAGCCUGAGAAACGGCUACCACUUCCAAGGAAGGCAGCAGGCGCGCAAAUUACCCACUCUCAGAACGAGGAGGUAGUGACGAAAAAUAACGAGACAGUUCUCUAUGAGGUCUGUCAUCGGAAUGGGUACAAUCUAAACCCUUUAACGAGGAUCUAUUGGAGGGCAAGUCUGGUGCCAGCAGCCGCGGUAAUUCCAGCUCCAAUAGCGUAUAUUAAAGUUGUUGCGGUUAAAAAG